GACGAACGCUGGCGGCGCGCUUAACACAUGCAAGUCGAGCGAGAACCACGACCUGGUUGUGGGGACGAGCGGCGAACGGGUGAGUAACACGUGAGUAAUCCACCCUUGGUACCGGGAUAGCUCGGGGAAACUCGAAUUAAUACCGGAUAGCCCAUUAGCCUUUCGGGGUCGAAUGGAAAAGGUAGCUUCGGCCUCCGACCAAGGACGAGCUCGCGGCGGAUUAGCUUGUUGGCGGGGUAAUGGCCCACCAAGGCGACGAUCCGUAGCUGGUCUGAGAGGACGAUCAGCCACACUGGGACUGAGACACGGCCCAGACUCCUACGGGAGG
rnacentral:rRNA from 1 species